rnacentral:lncRNA from 1 species
UUUUUAAGAUGAUACAAUUUACAGCAUGCAAGUUUGCUGUCUGUCUCCUCCCUUUAUGUACAUAUAAAAUGAGCAAACGUGGCCAUGAAGCAGAUGGUCAUGGAAUUGGUUCAGUGUUUGUGAGUUCCACAAACCAAGAGCGUCUCAUCUGAAACACCACCAGGAAUAUCUGGACACAGCAGACCAAGUUAGUUCAGCUGGUCGCCUUGGGAUACGUGUGUCCAGAAAGAAAGGAGAUGAAAAGAAACUGGAAUGACAGAAUAUCAGAGCCAGAGGAAAACGUGGAUCAUCCCCUGCACCUGCCCACAGGUCCACUGUCCACUCCUCUCCAUCCUGUCUCAUGCCACUUGGAGCUCGUCACCUCUAGAACGCAUCCCUGACUCCCCUGCGUGCACAAUUCCAGUUAGGGUUAGCGAUGGGGGACACCUGAUGGAGCCUGGAAGUGAGAGGAAGGAAAAAGAGAGAAAAUGCAAAUUAUCUUUAUCAGGAACUAAAAAGGUGAUAUGCAUAGAUUCCGAUAUUAAAAGGAUAUUUAAAAAUUACGAUAAGCAACUUUAUGUUCAUGAAAGCAAUAAUAUAGCUAAAAUGGGCAAGUUUCUUGAAAAGGACAAUUCACCUAAACUUACAAGAGGAAAUAGAAGAAUAUUUCUCUACCUAUAAAAGAAAUUGGAUUAAUGAUUUAAAAAUCUGAUGCUAAGCAAAAUCUAAGCCUAGAGGUUGAAUUCUUUCCUUUAUCUACAGAUGACAUCAUAAAAAUAUAAAAUUAAUUUUUUCAGAACAUAGAAGAGGAACCUUUCAACGUUUUUGAGGCAAGCAUAACCCUGAUAGGAAAACCAAAGCAAAUAUAACCCUGAUACCAAAAGAUUUUAAAAGAAAAAAAAUCACUACUUCUUGUAAGCAGAGAUGCAAGAAAUCCUACAAAAAAUUAACAAGUUAAAGCCAAACAUAUAGCAGGUAUAAUAAGUCUUGACCAAGUCUAGUUUAUUACAGGGAUAUAAAGUUUAUUCAACAUUUGUAAAUCAAUUAAUGUUCUUCAGCCCAUUAACAGAAGGAAAAAAUUAUACCAACAUUUAAAUUAAUGCAGACAAAGUAUUUGUCAAGAUUGAAACUCAUUCAUGAUUUUAAAAAGAAAAAAAAACAUGUAGCACACUAGGAAUAGAAGGAACUUUCUGUAACUUGAGAAAUGCAUCUGUGAAGAACAUCCAGCUAAUAUCGUGGUUAAUAGUGAAAAGCUAAAUGCUUUUCAUCUAAGACAGAGAAUAGGGGAAGAAUGUCAGCUUUUGCUACGUUUAUUCACUAUCAUUCUGGAGGUCUUAGUCAAAGCAACAAUGAAAAGAAAGACAAAUAAAAAGUAAUAAAGUGUGAAAAUCAAGACAUGAAACAAUCCAUAUUCACGACUAACAUGUAUGUAGACGAUCCUAAGAAAUGUGCUUAAAGUUACUUGUAUUAAACUGUGAAUUUUGCAGGGUCACAAGCUUCAAUGAACAAAAACCAGAAAGCCUCAACAAAUGAAGAGAUGUAACUUGUAGAAGAAUGGGAAGAUUAAAAAAAAAAAGAAUGAGAAGAUUUUAAUGUUACCACGGAUGUCAUUUAUACUUUCAGCUCCUGGUUUUCCAGUAUUGGUUGAAAAAUAUAUCCCCAUUGCCAAUAUCAUGUAUAUAUUUUCUUAAGUUGUCUUGAAAGAUUUUAAAUUAAAUUGAAAUUUUAUUUUACAUUUUAGGCUCAAAUCCGUUUUUUGAGUAAGAUGAGGUUCAACAUUAUUUCCUUCCAGAUAGACACUAAAUUUUGCCAGCAUAGACUAUUUUUAAAAAUAUAUUUCCUCCACUGAUUUGAUGUGUCAUUAUGAUGUAUUAAAUUUUUACAGACAAUGAUCCAUAAUGACUUAUCUAGACUCUUUCACUUAUCUAUUUAUUUGUUGGUUUAUAUACUGAUACCAUAUUAUUGUUCCCAAUCAGCUUGUGGAAGCUGAGGCAGGAGGAUGGCUUGAGCCAGGAGUUGGAGGCUGCAGUGAGCUGGGAUCGCACCAUGGCACUCCAGCCUGUUUCAAAAACAAUGCAUCUCCUAAGUUUAUGGUUUAAUGCAUUUUGACAAAUUCGUACAAUUGUAGUAGAUUCAUGGAG